UCGGGGCGCCAGCCCCCGGCGUCUGGAUGACUCAUCCGCAGACGGUGUCCCGUCCAAGUCUGG
rfam:Thiobacillus sp. GWE1_62_9 gwe1_scaffold_3823, whole genome shotgun sequence.